AUCUGGCACCAGGGGUGCUUGCCCUGAAAAGAGUCUUUCUUCUGAAAGGGUAGGCUGAGAUGAGACCCUCACGACCUGAUCAGGAUAAUUCCUGCGAAGGGAGUGUGCCGACGCUGUAUU
rfam:Selaginella moellendorffii unplaced genomic scaffold SELMOscaffold_20, whole genome shotgun sequence.